CAAGAGGAAUAUGAGAAAGAAAGCCACUAAGAGGCUAAAGCGGGGUACUAAGAAGCAAAAGCUCGAGUCCGACAUUGGAAAUCUGCCUUAAGAAUUUGAGGAUCACUGCCAGAGUUCAGAUUCCGAUGACGGUCAAAAAGGUUGCUGCUAGACUCAGCACUCAACUUCCACAAAAUUUCAAUUUCUUAUAUUUUACAACCUUUUUGCUUAAUAAAAUUAGACAGUUAACCUUAUCUUAUUUUAUUAUUGAUUCAGAAAAUUUCUGCAAAUAAAAAGCUACACAAUUGUUGGUCGUACCAACAUAGUUAAAAGAACUAGAAA